rnacentral:lncRNA from 1 species
UUAUCGUUACACUAGCGAAAUUAUUUUAAUUUUUUCAUCAACCAAAUUAGUUAUUUCUCUGAUCAUGUUCUUAACUAAUUCGACGCAGAUAACAGAACCUUUUUCAAUAUCAUUAUACAAAUGAAAAACUACUCGCAUGAUUUUAUAUUCUGAAACGUGAUUUUGCCAAGCGCUAAGGUAAUUAUGUGAGCAUAAGUGUACUUGUCCUGUAUCAGACAUAUUAUUAAUUUCCUACUGGGUAUUCGUUACACCAAUGUAAUCGUACCUAUAUUUGGUGUAUGUACAUACAUAUAUCCUCGCAUUGACACUUGAUAAGAACACGCAGAUGUGUAGAACUAUUUAUAUAGAUACAUAUUGUUAUAUGUAUAUAAAUUUACUAAUAAUUUUUUUAUCAAAUUUAUUUCAAUUUAAAACGAGACUAUAAAAUUUAUCAUUGAGCCAUGCAUUAUUACUACGAGCAUAAUUUUUCGAAUGCAAAUACAUAAAUAUGUAUGUAUAUAAAUACUAUUAACAAGUAUGUAUGUAAUUAGUUGUGAGUCUUCAUUGAGCAUGCAUGAAUUCCGGACAUUCGCAGAAGCGCCAAACGGUGCCGCGCCGGACCAAACAUAAAACACAGCGCACCUAGAGCAACGCGGAUAGCGCUCUAUGGCAGUCUUAGAAUAACAGUCACAACAAUAGCAACGACCACUAAAUAUACUUAACAAUUACUAUAAUAAAUGCUGACACGGUGUAAAUUGUUAAAAUUUCUGUGCAAACAACAACAAACGUGUGCAAACCCAGCGUCCACUAAGCAUAACAAAAUUGGAAUACACAACAAGUGCAUCGGUUAUCUAACCAGAAAAAUAUACUACCGCACCGCGCUGUUUGUGCUUUGGACGAAGCCUGUCGAACUGUUAUGGAAUAAUUAUGAAAAUGAGGAAUUCGCCAAGUGGUAAUCGCGCCAAAAACAGCAAGCAGUUAAAACGCGAGAUCUAUGUAAAAAACUGCUGAAAGGUUCACCAAUACACUAUAAUACUUACUAUAGUAUACUUAUCGAUGAAAGAAAUGAAGUCCUUAGUACGGUCACCACAAACGGUCCAAUGAUCAUUAAAAUAAUUGUCAAUUUAGAUGUGAAACACAAAUACUUACAAACACUUUUGUUAAAACAAAUUUACUAAGCGUCAGCGGCAGCAUACACUUCCACAGUAGUUUCGGCUAGUUGUGCAAUA